rnacentral:rRNA from 1 species
GAUGAACGCUGGCGGCGUGCCUAAUACAUGCAAGUCGAGCGAACAGACGAGGAGCUUGCUCCUCUGACGUUAGCGGCGGACGGGUGAGUAACACGUGGAUAACCUACCUAUAAGACUGGGAUCACUUCGGGAAACCGGAGCUAAUACCGGAUAACAUGUUGAACCGCAUGGUUCAACAGUGAAAGACGGUUUUGCGGUCACUUAUAGAGGGAUCCGCGCCGCAUUAGCUAGUUGGUAAGGUAACGGCCUACCAAGGCAACGAGGCGUAGCCGACCUGAGAGGGUGAUCGGCCACCCUGGAACUGAGACACGGACCAGACUCCUACGGGAGGCAGCAGUAGGGAAUCUUCCGCAAUGGGCGAAAGCCUGACGGAGCAACGCCGCGUGAGUGAAGAAGGUCUUCGGAUCGUAAAACUCUGUUAUUAGGGAAGAACAAAUGUGUAAGUAACUAUGCACGUCUUGACGGUACCUAAUCAGAAAGCCACGGCUAACUACGUG